rnacentral:rRNA from 1 species
AUUGAACGCUGGCGGCAUGCUUUACACAUGCAAGUCGAACGGCAGCAUGGAAGAGCUUGCUCUUCUGAUGGCGAGUGGCGAACGGGUGAGUAAAGCAUCGGAACGUACCGUGUAGUGGGGAUAACGUAGCGAAAGUUACGCUAAUACCGCAUACGCACUGAGGUGGAAAGCAGGGGAUCGCAAGACCUUGCGCUAUACGAGCGGCCGAUGUCAGAUUAGCUAGUUGGUAGGGUAAAGGCCUACCAAGGCGACGAUCUGUAGCGGGUCUGAGAGGAUGAUCCGCCACACUGGGACUGAGACACGGCCCAGACUCCUACGGGAGGCAGCAGUGGGGAAUUUUGGACAAUGGGCGAAAGCCUGAUCCAGCCAUGCCGCGUGAGUGAAGAAGGCCUUCGGGUUGUAAAGCUCUUUUCGGCUGGGAAGAAAUCGCACAGGCUAAUACUCUGUGUGGAUGACGGUACCAGCACAAGAAGCACCGGCUAACUACGUG